UACGUAGGGGGCAAGCGUUGUCCGGAAUCAUUGGGCGUAAAGCGCGUGUAGGCGGUUCGGUAAGUCUGCUGUGAAAGUCCAGGGCUCAACCCUGGGAUGCCGGUGGAUACUGUCGGGCUAGAGUACGGAAGAGGCGAGUGGAAUUCCCGGUGUAGCGGUGAAAUGCGCAGAUAUCGGGAGGAACAUCAAUUGCGAAGGCAGCUCGCUGGGACGUCACUGACGCUGAGACGCGAAAGCGUGGGGAGCAAACAGG
rnacentral:rRNA from 1 species